GCUUUAAAAUGAGAUUAAAUCAGGCCCAUGGUCUUUAUUAUGGGGAAGAUAUAUUCCCCUUGUGCAUUCCAGUGGUUCGGCAAUCUUAACCUCAGCAGACAUAACAUUGAUGUAUGCUGCGUUGCCAAACAGCAAGAUUUUUCACUCUCUUGCAUCUUCACUAGAAGAGUACACGGGGAAGUGGUGGCCCUGCCUGACGGUCCAAGCAUAUCUUAUUGCUGAAAAUGAAUCCUCACUAAUUUUCCUGGAUAUAGAAAAACCUGCAGCCUGGGAAAGGAAACCAGUAUAAAGGACUACAUUAUGGCCUAUUCACUUCAGUGACUAGAACUGACGGUUAAGUUAGAAAGGAGCCGACUAAGGGAGCCCUUCAAACCUGUUAACCUACUUGAAGGUCUAAAUUUAUUUCAGGUUGGAGACAUUUGCCUUGUUUUGUGUCUAAUAUCAAAAUUAAAAACAAAAACAAACAGAAUCAAAACAAAACCAAAGCCCAGCUUUUAGCAGAAUCAUUAUUGAAAUGAGUAAAAAUUUAACUCCUCUCCCCACAGAACUCUUAAAAGACAUAAUUAUGAGCUGUCCUCUAAUAAAAAUAAAUGGGGGUCCAUCGACAGAGGAAUGGAUAAAGAAGAUGUGGUACAUAUAUACAAAGGAAUAUCACUCAGCCAUUAAAAGGAAUGAAAUAAUGCCAUUUGCAGCAACAUGGAUGGACUCAGAGAUGUCACAUUGAGUGAGAGACCCAUUUGGAAGUUGCUGCUUCCUUUCGUCCAUUCCCAAGGCGAGGUGGAUGCCGUCUUUCUUCCACUUGAUGACGGGGACUCCCCGGUCAGACUCCGCGGAGCAGUUCAGGAGGACGUUCCCUCCGCG